AAGAUUUGAUCCUGGCUCAGAACGAACGCUGGCGGCAGGCUUAACACAUGCAAGUCGAGCGCCCCGCAAGGGGAGCGGCAGACGGGUGAGUAACGCGUGGGAAUCUACCCUUUUCUACGGAAUAACGCAGGGAAACUUGUGCUAAUACCGUAUGUGCCCUUCGGGGGAAAGAUUUAUCGGGAAAGGAUGAGCCCGCGUUGGAUUAGCUAGUUGGUGGGGUAAAGGCCUACCAAGGCGACGAUCCAUAGCUGGUCUGAGAGGAUGAUCAGCCACAUUGGGACUGAGACACGGCCCAAACUCCUACGGGAGGCAGCAGUGGGGAAUAUUGGACAAUGGGCGCAAGCCUGAUCCAGCCAUGCCGCGUGAGUGAUGAAGGCCCUAGGGUUGUAAAGCUCUUUCACCGGUGAAGAUAAUGACGGUAACCGGAGAAGAAGCC
rnacentral:rRNA from 1 species